ACGCGCUGGAGGACCGAACCCACGUAAGUUGAAAAUUGCGGGGAUGAGUUGUGGGUAGCGGUGAAAUUCCAAACGAACUUGGAGAUAGCUGGUUCUCUCCGAAAUAGCUUUAGGGCUAGCCUCGCAAAGAGGAUGCUGGAGGUAGAGCUCUGUUUGGACUAGGGGCCCGUCAAGGGUUACUGAAUUCAGAUAAACUGCGAAUUCCAGACAUUUAUGUGCGGGAGUCAGACUGCGAGUGAUAAGAUCCGUAGUCGAAAGGGAAACAGCCCAGAUCACCAGUUAAGGUCCCAAAAUUCAUGCUAAGUGGAAAAGGAUGUGGAGUUGCGCAGACAACUAGGACGUUGGCUCAGAAGCAGCCAUCAUUCAAAGAGUGCGUAAUAGCUCACUAGUCGAGUGACGCCGCGCCGAAAAUUUACCGGGGCUAAGCAUGAUACCGAAACUGUGGAUGUGCAUUUAUGCACGUGGUAGGAGAGCGUUCUAGCGGCGGUGAAGCAUGACCGAGAGGACAUGUGGAGCUUCUAGAAGUGAGAAUGCCGGUAUGAGUAACGAAAGACAGGUGAGAAUCCUGUCCGCCGCAAGACUAAGGUUUCCUGGGGCAGGCUCGUCCGCCCAGGGUAAGUCGGGACCUAAGGCGAGGCCGAGAGGCGUAGUCGAUGGACAACAGGUUGAAAUUCCUGUACUGCACCGAAUCGUUAUGAGCGAUGGAGGGACGCAGGAGGCUAGCAGCGCGUGGUGCUGGAUACCACGUUCAAGCGUCAAGUCUGAGAGCGAGUCAAAUGCUUGCUCUCAUAAGGACAAGGCGUGAUGAGGAGCGAAAUUAAAGUAGCGAAGGCUGCGACGUCACACUGCCGAGAAAAGCUUCUAGCCAGAGACGGUGCACCCGUACCGCAAACCGACACAGGUAGUCGAGGAGAGUAUCCUCAGGUGAGCGAGAGAACUCUCGUUAAGGAACUCGGCAAAAUGGCCCCGUAACUUCGGGAGAAGGGGCGCUGGUCGCAAGAUCAGCCGCAGUGAAAAGGCCCAAGCAACUGUUUAUCAAAAACACAGGCAUCUGCAAAAUCGUAAGAUGAAGUAUAGGUGCUGACACCUGCCCGGUGCUGGAAGGUUAAGAGGAGAGCUUAGCGCAAGCGAAGGUUUGAAUUGAAGCCCCAGUAAACGGCGGCCGUAACUAUAACGGUCCUAAGGUAGCGAAAUUCCUUGUCGGGUAAGUUCCGACCUGCACGAAAGGUGUAAUGAUUUGGGCACUGUCUCAACGAGAGACUCGGUGAAAUUAUAAUACCCGUGAAGAUGCGGGUUACCCGCGACAGGACGGAAAGACCCCAUGGAGCUUUACUGCAGUUUAAUAUUGGGUAUCUGUCAAGCAUGUACAGGAUAGGUAGGAGCCGGAGAAGAUAGGACGCCAGUCUUAUC
rnacentral:rRNA from 1 species